UUCCUCUCUUCCCAUUAGAAGAGUUGCCGCCUCAGUGCUGUUUCUUGUGGUAAGAGUUUCUAGGACUUCCGCAACAAAUGCAUGUGGUUUACCUCUUAGUGAAAAUGCCACUGGGAAUUGAUCUUUGAGCUGUGCAUCAUUUCUCCAAAUAUCAAAUCAGAAAGCAAUUUACUUUCUAUUUGCUACUGUGAAGUUAAUACUC
rnacentral:lncRNA from 1 species